rnacentral:sRNA from 1 species
GUGCUGUGCCAAGGCUGCGAGGCGCUGAGGGGAGAGGCGCCGCCGUCAGCGCCGCCGCAGCUGGGACCCGUUAGAGCGGAAGCGCCGCCGCCACCGCCGCCUUUGCUGUCCCCCGGCCUCUAGUUCCCCGCAGGUGGGAGGUGGGAGCCAUGUCGAAACGGCUCCGGAGCAGCGAGGUGUGCGCUGACUGCAGCGGGCCGGAUCCUUCCUGGGCAUCAGUAAAUAGGGGAACGUUUUUAUGUGAUGAGUGCUGCAGUGUCCAUCGGAGUCUAGGGCGCCAUAUCUCCCAAGUGAGGCAUCUGAAACACACACCGUGGCCUCCAACACUGCUUCAGAUGGUUGAGACCUUGUAUAAUAAUGGUGCUAACUCUAUAUGGGAGCAUUCUUUGCUGGACCCUGCGUCUAUUAUGAGUGGAAGACGUAAAGCUAAUCCACAGGAUAAAGUACAUCCCAAUAAAGCGGAAUUCAUCAGAGCCAAGUAUCAGAUGUUAGCGUUCGUCCAUCGCUUGCCCUGCCGGGAUGACGAUAGUGUGACUGCCAAAGAUCUUAGCAAGCAACUCCAUUCGAGCGUGAGAACAGGGAAUCUUGAAACCUGUUUGAGACUGUUAUCUUUAGGAGCACAAGCCAACUUCUUUCAUCCUGAAAAAGGAAACACCCCACUCCAUGUUGCCUCCAAAGCAGGGCAGAUUUUACAGGCUGAAUUAUUGGCAGUAUAUGGAGCAGACCCAGGCACACAGGAUUCUAGUGGGAAAACUCCCGUUGAUUAUGCAAGGCAAGGAGGGCACCAUGAGCUGGCAGAGCGCCUCGUGGAAAUACAGUAUGAGCUAACGGACAGACUAGCCUUCUAUCUCUGUGGCAGGAAACCAGAUCACAAAAAUGGACAGCACUUUAUAAUACCUCAAAUGGCAGACAGCAGCCUGGAUUUGUCUGAAUUGGCAAAAGCUGCUAAGAAGAAACUUCAAUCUCUAAGUAAUCAUUUGUUUGAAGAACUUGCCAUGGAUGUGUACGAUGAAGUUGACAGGCGAGAGACGGAUGCAGUCUGGCUUGCCACGCAAAACCACAGCGCCCUGGUAACCGAGACAACGGUCGUCCCCUUUCUUCCGGUCAAUCCUGAGUACUCAUCAACACGAAAUCAGGGCAGACAGAAGUUAGCUCGGUUCAACGCCCAUGAGUUUGCCACGCUGGUCAUUGACAUUCUCAGUGACGCCAAGAGGAGACAGCAGGGCAGUUCUCUCUCGGGUUCAAAAGACAAUGUGGAGCUCAUACUGAAAACCAUCAAUAACCAGCACAGCGUUGAGAGUCAAGACAACGAUCAGCCCGACUAUGACAGCGUGGCAUCAGACGAAGACACAGAUUUGGAAACCACUGCAAGCAAAACAAACCGGCAGAAGAGCCUAGAUUCAGAUUUAUCAGAUGGACCAGUCACUGUACAGGAAUUUAUGGAGGUCAAAAACGCUCUAGUGGCUUCUGAGGCCAAGAUACAGCAGCUAAUGAAGGUGAAUAACAACUUGAGUGACGAGCUGAGAAUUAUGCAGAAAAAGGUAACAUGUUAAUAAAUGCCAGGACGGUUGACGCUUUAAUCCCAUAGUACAAGGAAGAAUCUCAGGCACUGUGAUGUGGUCCGAGGAAAGAAAAACAGUUAUUGUAACAGCCUUAGAAAUCUUUGGGCCAAGUUGUCUUUUUGAAGCAGGAUGUAUUUGGAUAUUUAAAAUGAAAUAUAUCCAGAGUAAGUUCCCCAGGUAGGAGAAACCUAACAUCUAUUUAAGCAUUUGUGCCCAUUAGAAUAACCCUUGCACUAUUCUGUGCUUCCUGGAAACCUGGAUGGGGUUUCUUCCCAUUGCUAGGGAAGGAUGAUCACACCAUGGAGACAGAGCCAAUGAGAGCCCUGGGCAGGGGCAUGUUUAUCAGCAUUCAAACCCUGCUCCCACCCUGGCAGCCCUAUCCCACAUCCCCACCUUAUUGCUCACCAGUUUUUACUACUAACUUGUAUUAUCCCCAGAG